rnacentral:tRNA from 1 species
CGGUCUGUGCUUGGAAAUGGUAUACAGUGUCGGCUCAAACCCGGCAGCCGAGAUAAACACGGAUUGUGGGUUCGAAUCCCUCCAGACCGA